GCCUGAGUAGCUCAGCUGGUAGAGCACCAGUUUUGUAAACUGGUUGUCGUCGGUUCGAUCCCGACCUCAGGCU
rnacentral:tRNA from 3 species